GACGAACGCUGGCGGCGUGCUUAACACAUGCAAGUCGAACGGAAAGGCCCUGCUUUUGUGGGGUACUCGAGUGGCGAACGGGUGAGUAACACGUGAGUAACCUGCCCUUGACUUUGGGAUAACUUCAGGAAACUGGGGCUAAUACCGGAUAGGAGCUCCUGCUGCAUGGUGGGGGUUGGAAAGUUUCGGCGGUUGGGGAUGGACUCGCGGCUUAUCAGCUUGUUGGUGGGGUAGUGGCUUACCAAGGCUUUGACGGGUAGCCGGCCUGGGAGGGUGACCGGCCACAUUGGGACUGAGAUACGGCCCAGACUCCUACGGGAGGCAGCAGUGGGGAAUAUUGCACAAUGGGCGGAAGCCUGAUGCAGCAACGCCGCGUGCGGGAUGACGGCCUUCGGGUUGUAAACCGCUUUCGCCUGUGACGAAGCGUGAGUGACGGUAAUGGGUAAAGAAGCACCGGCUAACUACGUG
rnacentral:rRNA from 1 species